CCGAAAUCAUAAAGAAGCCGUUUUCGACCUUUCCCCUGUUUCUUCUGAGCUCAGCUUUUUCAAAUCAACACCGAAAUCAAAUAUAGAAACCGAUCCAUCAAAGAACAGCAACCUUAAAGACCAGCAAAAGAUAUUUCACAGUCAGGUCUUAAAGAUCAGAGAAGAAGACAUGCAUUUAGGCAAGGACCUAGGUGAGGGCUUGAGCACAAAAGACAAGCUCGCGUUUCUCCAUCUCGAUGUCUUCUUCUAUUCCAGGCCUAUCCUGCCGUCCCGCCUAGGAAAUAAGACGGCGAUCCAUUAAGGUUCUUCUUGUCCUUAACUCGCCGAUCUUUUCUCUCUUAGUGCCUAUCUUCUUGAUCUGAACUCUGGUCCAGAGCUCACAACCAUGGCGCUUUUCUACUAGGAAGCUCUGAAAUCCCUUUUCUCUGUUUUCUCCCCUGUAUAUAAGGCGAGAUGUCAAUACUAUUGGCUCUUUUUCCCGGAUUCUAUAAUCCAUAAGAGAAAAAAACAUAGUCUUGCAUGCUAAAUCAUCUAACAGUGAGUAAUUAGCUCCUUGAUCUCGUUCUUACAGAUUAUUAAGAAGUAAAACUGGUUUUGGAGUUGAAUAUGGAUUUCUAUUUGGUUUUCGUUUUCAUGAAAGUUUCUUUUGUUUGCCUUUGUUAUAUGGAAAAUUUAUUAUAACACCCGUUGCGUCAUAUAGAAGAAAUUGAGAAGAAGAGGCAACAACAGAGAAAAAAAUACUUAAGACUUAAUCCACGGUUAAAGGGCUAUCCACUUAUGCCCUUACAUUCACUUUCUAUUUUAUUUAAGAUAAGUGAUAAUAACAAAAUAAAAAAAUAUUUCUCAAAUAUUUUUUAAAUAUAUUCCAAGAUAUUUUUCAAAUUUACUUAUCCAAAAUAUGAGAUUUGGGAUUGAGCUUACAAUUCAUGUUUCUAUGUUAUUUGAGUAGCUAGCGGUACACAGAUUUUUUUUUUUUUUUUGGGGUUUAAGUAGCUGUGCACAGUUAUAGCUACACUCUGGACUCUUUAAGUUCUUGCGGUCUUUUAUGCAGAUUUUUUAAAAUUAAAUUAUUGUUAUUAUUAUUGGAGCUUUAUUCUAACUAUUUUAAAGUUUGAACUAGCUAUAUACAUUUUCAUUUCAACGCAUUAUUUGACAUUUCACACGUAGAUAACACUCUGGACAGUCGGAUUAUAAGUCAUUGUCUCUCUCCUUGGAAGUCCAUAAUCCAUACAUGUUCGCUUUUAGGAUUCACAGUGGCAACGGAACCCAUCGGAUCUUGGAUUUGGUCCGAUCCAUUAUUCUUAUUAUUUUUUAUAAUUGUUAUUUUUUUUUUUUUUACUAGCAUGUGGCCGUGGCUAGUGUUUUUUUUUUUAUUAUUUGCCAAUAAUAUUGUAACUGUUGUCAAUGGACUCGAGGUCGGAUAUACCCGUAGGCUCUUGAGUCUAAUCGGGUUCAUUAUGAUCCCUUUCACAUAUAAAAGGUUUU
rnacentral:lncRNA from 1 species